GCUUGUCUCAAAGAUUAAGCCAUGCAUGUCUUAGUGUAAAUAACUCUUAUGAAACUGCGAAUGGCUCAUUAAAUCAGUUAUCAAAUACGUGAUGGUCGCCUACUACAUGGAUAACCGUAGUAAUUCUAGAGCUAAUACAUGCAUCAAACCCCGACUUCUGGAAGGGGUGUAUUUAUUAGAUGGAAACCAAUGCGGGGCAACCCGGAUUCUGGUGAUUCAUAAUAACUUUCGGAUCGAUUUAUCGAUGCAUCAUUCAAGUUUCUGCCCUAUCAGCUUUGGAUGGUAGGGUAUUGGCCUACCAUGGCUUUAACGGGUAACGGAGAAUUAGGGUUCGAUUCCGGAGAGGGAGCCUGAGAAAUGGCUACCACAUCCAAGGAAGGCAGCAGG
rnacentral:rRNA from 1 species